rnacentral:rRNA from 1 species
CAGCAGCCACGGUAAUACGUAGGUGGCAAGCGUUGUCCGGAAUUAUUGGGCGUAAAGGGCUCGCAGGCGGUUUCUUAAGUCUGAUGUGAAAGCCCCCGGCUCAACCGGGGAGGGUCAUUGGAAACUGGGAAACUUGAGUGCAGAAGAGGAGAGUGGAAUUCCACGUGUAGCGGUGAAAUGCGUAGAGAUGUGGAGGAACACCAGUGGCGAAGGCGACUCUCUGGUCUGUAACUGACGCUGAGGAGCGAAAGCGUGGGGAGCGAACAGGAUUAGAUACCCCCGUAGUCCCUGUCUCUUAUAC